UAGGGAAUCUUCGGCAAUGGACGAAAGUCUGACCGAGCAACGCCGCGUGAGUGAAGAAGGUUUUCGGAUCGUAAAACUCUGUUGUUAGAGAAGAACAAGGACGUUAGUAACUGAACGUCCCCUGACGGUAUCUAACCAGAAAGCCACGGCUAACUACGUGCCAGCAGCCGCGGUAAUACGUAGGUGGCAAGCGUUGUCCGGAUUUAUUGGGCGUAAAGCGAGCGCAGGCGGUUUCUUAAGUCUGAUGUGAAAGCCCCCGGCUCAACCGGGGAGGGUCAUUGGAAGCUGGGAGACUUGAGUGCAGAAGAGGGGAGUGGAAUUCCAUGUGUAGCGGUGAAAUGAGUAGAUAUAUGGAGGAACACCAGUGGCGAAGGCGGCGCUCUGAUCUGUAACUGACGCUGAGGCUCGAAAGCGUGGGGAGCAAACAGG
rnacentral:rRNA from 1 species